AUUGAACGCUGGCGGCAGGCCUAACACAUGCAAGUCGAGCGAGCGGCGGACGGGUGAGUAAUGUAUGGGGACUGCCCGCUAGAGGGGGAUAACUACUGGAAACGGUAGCUAAUACCGCAUACUAUCGGAUAACCCAUAUGGGAUUAGCUAGUAGGUGAGGUAAUGGCUCACCUAGGCGACGAUCCCUAGCUGGUCUGAGAGGAUGAUCAGCCACACGGGGACUGAGACACGGCCCAGACUCCGACGGAGGCAGCAGUGGGGAAUAUUGCACAAUGGGCGCAAGCCUGGUGCAGCCAUGCGGCGUGUAUGAAGAAGGCCCUUGGGUUGUAAAGUACUUUCAGUCGGGAGGCGUGACCGACAGAAUAAGCACCGGCUAACUACGUGCCAGCCGCCGCGGUAAUUC
rnacentral:rRNA from 1 species